rnacentral:rRNA from 1 species
UACGGGGGGGGCAAGCGUUGUUCGGAAUUACUGGGCGUAAAGGGCUCGUAGGCGGCCAACUAAGUCCGACGUGAAAUCCCCAGGCUUAACCUGGGAACUGCGUCGGAUACUGGAUGGCUUGAAUCCGGGAGAGGGAUGCGGAAUUCCUGGUGUAGCGGUGAAAUGCGUAGAUAUCAGGAGGAACACCUGCGGUGUAGACGGCUUUCUGGACCAUUGCUGACGCUGAGACACGAAAGCGUGGGUAGCAAACAGG